rnacentral:ribozyme from 1 species
GGCUGGCAAAAUCCUAUCACCACCUCCUCGCGGUGCCAGGUGGAUACGGCUGGAUACAACUGGAUACAACGACUCGUUGGAACUAACGGUGAAGG